UUUUGGUGAUGGCAUUGGUGGUGUAUUUGUGGUAUUGGUAGUGGUGGUGGCGGCGCUGGGGGUGAUGUUGGUGUUGGUAGUGGUGUUGGUGUUGUUGGUGGUAUUGAUGUUGGUGUUGGUAUUGGUGGCAUUAGUGGUGGUGUUGGUGGUUUUUAUUGGUGGUGUUGGUGGUCUGGUGUUGGUGUUGGUGGUUCAUCUAUUGCAAUAACUGGAGCAUCUGUUAGGAGAUAUUAACAUAGG
rnacentral:lncRNA from 1 species